AGAACGAACGCUGGCGGCGUGCUUAACACAUGCAAGUCGAACGUGAUCCGGAGCUUGCUCCGGUGAAAGUGGCGCACGGGUGAGUAACGCGUGGAUAACCUGCCCUGGUAUCUGGGAUAACAUCUCGAAAGGGGUGCUAAUACCGGAUAAGCCUCCGGGAUCUUCGGAUUCUGCAGGAAGAGAAGGCCUCUAUUUAUAAGCUUUCGUAUCAGGAUGGGUCCGCGUACCAUUAGCUAGUUGGUGGGGUAAUGGCCUACCAAGGCGACGAUGGUUAGCUGGUCUGAGAGGAUGAUCAGCCACACUGGAACUGAGACACGGUCCAGACUCCUACGGGAGCAGCAGUGGGGAAUUUUGCGCAAGUGGGGAAACCCUGACGCAGCAACGCCGCGUGAGUGAUGAAGGCUUUCGGUCGUAAAGCUCUGUCAGAGGGAAGAAAGUGGAACUGGCUAAUAUCCUAGUUUCUGUACGUACCUACGAAAGAAGACACCGGACUAACUCCGUGACCG
rnacentral:rRNA from 1 species